UACGAGGGGUGCAAGCGUUAAUCGGAAUUACUGGGCGUAAAGCGUGCGCAGGCGGUUUGUUAAGUCUGCUGUGAAAUCCCCGAGCUCAACUUGGGAAUUGCAGUGGAUACUGGCAGGCUGGAGUAUGGUAGAGGAAGGUGGAAUUCCCGGUGUAGCAGUGAAAUGCGUAGAGAUCGGGAGGAACACCAGUGGCGAAGGCGGCCUUCUGGACCAAUACUGACGCUCAUGCACGAAAGCGUGGGGAGCAAACAGG
rnacentral:rRNA from 1 species